rnacentral:rRNA from 1 species
AGCAGCCGCGGUAAUUCCAGCUCCAAUAGCGUAUAUUAAAGUUGCUGCAGUUAAAAAGCUCGUAGUUGAAUUUCGGGACCAUCAUGUCGGUCGUGCCUCGGUACGUACUGGCAUUGUUGGUUUCUCCCUUCUGACGAACCAUGAUGUCAUUUAUUUGGUGUUGUGGGGAAUCAGGACUGUUACUUUGAAAAAAUUAGAGUGUUUAAAGCAAGCUAACGCUUGAAUACAUUAGCAUGGAAUAAUGAAAUAGGACGUUCGAUCCUAUUUUGUUGGUUUCUAGGAUUGACGUAAUGAUUAAUAGGGAUAGUUGGGGGCAUUAGUAUUCAAUUGUCAGAGGUGAAAUUCUUGGAUUUAUUGAAGACUAACUACUGCGAAAGCAUUUGCCAAGGAUGUUUUCAUUAAUCAAGAACGAAAGUUAAGGGAUCGAAGACGAUCAGAUACCGUCGUAGUCUUAACCAUAAACUAUGCCGACUA